rnacentral:misc_RNA from 1 species
GUGGCAGUCCCCCUUCUUUUCCCGCCAACCCCCCUUCCCCUCCACCAACCGCACACCCAACUAUCCGCCACCACCAACACGACCAUGCCCACCUCGUCUUGGCAGGCGGCGCAUCUGCUCAUUAAGCACAGCGGCAGCCGCAACCCUGUGUCGCGCCGCACCGGGCAGCCAACCACCAUAUCGUACGAGGAAGCCGUCACGGAGCUGCAGAAGUGGCGCCAAUCAAUCGAAGAAGGUAGGGUGACCUUCGAGGAGGCCGCGCGACAGCGCAGCGACUGCAGCAGCUACGCCCGCGGCGGCGACUUGGGCGUCUUCGGCCCUGGGGAGAUGAUGAAGCCAUUUGAGGAUGCCACGAAGUCUCUCGAGGUGGGGCAUGUGAGCGGCAUUGUUGUGACUGACAGCGGCGUGCACAUCAUCAAGCGCAUAGCCUGAAGCGGAAACACUUCCCUGUUAGAGUGAGAGAGUGGUCUGGGUGGAUUGUAGCAUGGUUUUAACCCAGGCGAAGGCUGGGAGGAGAGUAGAGGUGAAGUGGGCGGCGGGCGGGCGAGUGCACAGCUGCCACUGAUGUGUUUGAACCCCUGUAAAAGAAGAAGGUUCAGAAGGGCACAAGCUCUUCACCCUGUAAGCAGCCCUCCUCGCCGCAUCUCUGUAUGCGUACGCGUGGGUCUCUCUCUCUUAGCUCUCCUUCUCGUCGCUACCCGUCCACAAAAUUGUCGAUGCCUUUGUUCCUCUUGUGAGCAGUGCCUACCCGACGGCCUUGGGGGGGGGGCUGCACACACACCCCUCUCCGCGUGUGGCACCGCAGGGCCCAGUGUGUCCACUCUCUGUCUGGGAGGAAGCCGAGCAGACCCCCUAUUCCUGCCCAUGCCGAGCCACCUGUGGGCGGUAGCAGGGCCAAGCACCGACGACGCCGGGGAGGCCAGGGCGAUGCACCGCUACUUGUGCCCAGCGGUUAGACCCUGGACGGCGUGGCGUCGGAGCGACCUGCGACGGUGAACACGCCCGUGCCAUCCAUGCGAUAGGCCGCGUGCCAGCGCGACUCGGACGCAUGUCACCCUCGGCCUUCGCACCGCCUACUGGUGCGGGGAGAGCCCGCGUGUCACACCCCGAGGGGGUGGGGGGGGGUGGGGAAUGCGCCAGGGGUGGCGACCCGCGAGGCGGGGGUUUGUGAGCGGGUAGCGUGUGAGGCCCAGGCCCUGCUCAGGUGACUGAGUCGGCGCGGUGCUGCAACUCGCGUGUGUGUGCGGCUGCUUCGCACGACGCGGAUGGUUGGGUGGGGGGCCUGUGCUCGGUGAGUGUGUGUGUGGGGGGGGAGGGUGGCGUUGAGUGGAGCUCGCGUUGCACGGCAGAGAAGUGGGCACGCUAGAAAUGCGAAGAAAACAUGCCCUCCUAUCGUCAUAUUGCGCCGCUCAAUGCGAUGUCGCGGAACUGACAACGGCGCUGGUGUAUACCCACGCUAACGCACAAUUGCGCACAUAUCGUUGUGCCCGCCUCGCUCUGUCUUACCUCCGCCUCUCCAGCCAUCACUCCUGCGGAUCCGUCGCCUCGCCUCUGCCUCUCUCACGCAUCACAUGCAUGGUGUCAUCGACCCCUCCCCCAGGGGGUUUCAUCCGUUGUUUCUCAUGCCCACUGUCCUUCCUUCAACGCUCCCCCACGGCCGCAUCUCAGUUUUUCUUUCCCUGCAACAAAUUAUUCUCUGUUAUCAUCCCCACUCCCUUCCUUC